rnacentral:lncRNA from 1 species
CGGCGAGCUGAGGGCGAAGGGUGUGGAGACGUUGGCGUGCGUGUCGGUGAACGACGCGUUCGUGAUGAAGGCGUGGAAGGAGGCGCUGGGGGUCGGGGACGACGUGAUGAUGCUGUCGGAUGGGAACCUGGAGCUGACGCGCGCGCUGGGCGUGGAGAUGGACCUCUCCGACAAGCCGGUCGGGCUCGGGGUGAGGUCGAGGAGGUACGCGCUGCUGGCCGAGGACGGCGUCGUCAAGGUGCUCAACCUCGAGGAGGGCGGCGCCUUCACCAGCAGCAGCGCCGAGGACAUGCUCCAGGCGCUCGGGUGAGCAGGUUGAUCAAGUCCAGUCGUCGUCGCUCAGGGCGUCUCCUCCUCCUCCUUCCACUCGUGAAGUAAAGUAGUAGAGAAUAAGAAUCG